AUGCACUCCGUCCUGCCGCCCAGUGAAAAAGGUGCCUGCUUCUCCUUUGCCUUCCCCUGUGACUGUAACUUUCCUGAGGCCUCCCCAGCCAUGCGGAACUAUUUUAUAGAUGGCAAAACAGUCUUAGAGGUGAACUAUCUUGGCCAAGAUCAGAAAAUUGGUACGCAGAGGACCCAAAACUUCUAACAGAGGAAAGUCAGAGCAGAGAGGAGAGAAUCACAUGGCAUUUUUUCCUGAUAAUUCUAGAGGGAAGGAGCAUUACCACCACCAUGUAAGCGAAUGCGAAACUGCUCUCUUCAGAUCUCGAGGCACAGCUGUCAAGGGUUUUAUCAUGCUGUUGCCAUUUGUCAGGCAUGCUGGCCACCCAGCAUCUGAGCCUCUUCCUAUGGAUGGGAAAUGGUCCACUC